rnacentral:rRNA from 1 species
CCUACGGGAGACAGCAGUGGGGGAUAUUGCACAAUGGGGGGAACCCUGAUGCAGCGACGCCGCGUGGGUGAAGACGCGCCUCGGCGCGUAAAGCCCUGUCAGCAGGGAAGAAAAUGACGGUACCUGAAGAAGAAGCCCCGGCUAACUACGUGCCAGCAGCCGCGGUAAUACGUAGGGGGCGAGCGUUAUCCGGAUUUACUGGUUGUAGCGGGGGCGCAGACGGCGAUGCAAGCCAGGAGUGAAGGCCCGGGGCCCAACCCCGGGACUGCUCGUGGAACUGCGUGGCUGGAGUGCAGGAGGGGCAGGCGGAAUUCCUGGUGUAGCGGUGAAAUGCGUAGAUAUCAGGAGGAACACCGGUGGCGAAGGCGGCCUGCUGGAAUGCAACUGACGUUGAGGCACGAAAGCGUGGGGAGCAAACAGGAUUAGAUACCCGUGUAGUC